AUGACUAUUCCGCUGCACAAAUCGACAUCAAGUUGGACGAUACCAACUAUGCUCUAUGAUCCCAAGUUGUUGAGAUGUUUAUCUUUGGCAAAGACAAAUUGGGUUACAUCACAUAGACCUUCCACAACCAGAAUUGACGGAUCCUUUAUACUGGCGAUGGAGGACAGAAAAUUCCAUUAUCAAGGGAUGGCUUAUCAACUCCAUGGAACCGAGAUUGAUCGAUAA